rnacentral:rRNA from 1 species
CGGACGGGUGAGUAACGCGUGAGUAACCUGCCUUACACAAGGGGAUAGCCGUUGGAAACGACGAAUAAUACCCUAUGACAUAAACUCUUCGCAUGAGGAGCUUAUCAAAGAUUUAUCGGUGUAAGAUGGACUCGCGUCUGAUUAGCUAGUUGGUGAGGUAACGGCCCACCAAGGCGACGAUCAGUAGCCGGCUUGAGAGAGUGUACGGCCACAUUGGGACUGAGACACGGCCCAGACUCCUACGGGAGGCAGCAGCG